rnacentral:misc_RNA from 1 species
UGUGUCUAAACUUUACAUUUCUAAAGGUAACAAACGUUGCUUGGUUACAAGGAUUUGAAGCUGCUAGAGAAGCAAUUUAAUCAAGUGGAUAAUAACAGGAAAGCGUGACAGGCAGCGUUGUCACACAAUACUAAUUUGCGUGAACAUAUUGCAAGACGAAAUCUCAGAGAUCUUCCUGUUACCAUUUUAUAGUAAAAAAAACCCCUUGGAUCCAGUAUGAUCUGUCUAGCAUAUUUUUCCACAAAUGCUACAUUUGUUGCAUUGCCGUAGGACAGCCCAGUUAGUGGUGUGUGAAAUUUUGUUUACAAAUGAUAUAUGCUAAUUCUAAUGUAUUGGUUCGCUGCGGUGAAAUCGACAAGUUGCCAGUAGGAAGCCAUUAAAGAUCAACCAUGGCUCCACCAUGUGUGGAAAACAAAAAGCUCUCGAAGGAGCGAUCAAAGCAAAAAGCAGUGAAGAAGGAUUCCAAAUCAUCUCUUCCAACAACAGCUCUAGCAGUCGCCGCGACCGCUUUAAUCGCCAUAUGCGUGGCUGUUUACUACAAGAAUGGAUAUAAAAUUGAAAAGAAGCUAAACAAAGCGACAACGGGUGACUCUCGAGAAUCAACAGGAUCUAAAGUCGACAAGAGAAAUGACAUAAACACUGAUUUUAAAGUUCUUCCUCGACUAAAUGGCGUAAAGGUUGGUCAUGUACAAAAAAGACAGUUAAGCCCUGGAAAGAUUUAUGAAAUAACAACACUUAGCCUUAAGCCACCUGUAUUUGAAAUACCUAACUUUUUAACUGACGAGGAAUGCCAGAAAAUAAUCAGUCUGGCUUCAAUAGAAGGACUGGACACCAGUGAAGUCCAAGACCCCGAAACGGGAAUCAACAUCGAGCCAACCAAUGAGAAAACAUUUCACAGCUGGGACUACAACAGUGAUGGCGUUAUUGAUAAAGUUGAGGUGAUGCAUAAUCUUGUUGACCUCAGUGAUUUAUAUUUCUCUGAAGAAGACGUCGACAAGAUGUUUGCUAAACUCAAAGUAGACAAGAAUAACGAUGGGGUUAUGGACUUGAAGGAGUUUCUGGCAGUAACGACCCACAGAAUAAUGACCAGUCUUCACAGCAUGGCAAAGAAGCUACCUCGUGUCAAAAGCCGAAACAGCAGGCAAACAUGGCUGGACCAUCGAAAAAUCAAAGGCCUGAAUGACAAAGUGGCAGCUUUAACAAAGCUUCCCAGGGCAGUUGUAGAAGAAAGCGAGGAACUUCAGGUUGUUCAUUAUCAUCCCGAGGGACAUUAUCACUGUCACCAUGACUCACAAGACGUCGACCCAAGGGUUCCUUGUUGUGUUUUCCGAGACAAGCGUCACUGCCGUCUUUGCAGAUAUAUCACUGUACUGUACUUUCUAAACGACGUGGAAGAAGGAGGCGAGACUGCAUUUCCAGUUGCUGAUAACGCAACGUUUAGUACCGAGGACUGGGCAAAGAUCACGAAAUUCCGCUGUGAUUUGAGCAGGCAUUGCCACAAAGCCAACUUGUUUGUAAAGCCACGAAAAGGAACAGCAAUUAUGUGGUACAAUCACUUACGUGACGCCAAGACUGGAUGGUACGGGGGGCUAGAUCAGAUGAGCUAUCAUGGAGGAUGCGAUAUCAUCAAGGGCGAAAAAUGGAUCGCCAACAAUUGGAUUAAUAUUCUGGGCGAGUCACGUGAAACUUUGGUUUCCUACAAAAAUCCCAAGAAGAGAAUUAAAUAGCAAGUUCGAGACCGUUGAUAGAGGAUUUUAGCUGACCAGGCAAACUCUGGAAUAUGACUUAAAAACAUACACUGGAUCCAAAAAUACGUACCUCUUGUUAAAGGCUAGUUUUCACUAGCGACGGAGUCAGAGUCUUAGUCGUAGUCGGAGUCGUAAGAGAGCUUAUGACGUGGUGAAAAUCAAACAUCGGAGUCGUAAGCGGAGUCAUAAGCUCGACGGAAUCGCAGUCGGGAGAAUCAGAAUGUUUCCAUUUCUUCUGAUUCCGUAUUACUACCCCGUCGCUUAUGAUCCAGUGAAAGUUAUAGAUUGUAGGAUUCGAAAGCAGAAGCUGAAGAGCCAUCCCCAAUCACAAAGCCCGGAAUCGAACAUUGUGAUUAGUUUAUUCUUCCGCUACUGCUUUCGACUCCGAUAAUCUAGUUUUCAUUGGAUCGUAAUCGACGGAGUUAUAAGCAGAAUGGUUGUUCUGCUUCCGACUCCGUUGGUUUAAUUUUCACUAGAUCGCAUCACUUUUCGCUUCUGAUUACGACUCCGUUAUUUAAAAUCUGAUGGUUUAAGUUACUUACAAAAUACACCUUAGGUGCCGGGUGGCUUAUUGGUGUAAACCUAGAUAAAGCUAUUCAACAAUUGGCUUGAACUUUGAUUUCGGUUUUGUUACUUUUCAUUUAGGUUUUUGUCCCUCGGGUUUGAAUUUGACAGAGCAGUGAAAAAUAGUUUUACACAACAAAGAAUAGUUUAAUAAAUUGAUGAUGCUUUGCAUAGUUUCCGUUCAUUUCUUAAAACAAGACAACAUGAACAGUAACAACUUUCUUUCUGAAAUCGUUGUGAAAGGCGUAAUUGUCCAGAACAAAAAUUAGCGAGGCCGCAGAAUCUCACGUCAAACGAAAAACAACAAAACGGUGAGAUCCCCUACAUUAAGCCUACUACGUAUUGGAAAAAAAAUAAAGAAAUUAAGAAAUUAACAAAAAAAACAUGGUUUACACAUUUUAUUGCUUUGUCACUAAAUUCUUCUAUUGUUAUUGUGGACGGCAACCUUAAAGUCGUCUGAGACUUAUGGACUGAACGAGACCAUUUUUAGUUAUGUGACUGAAAAUUGGCGCGAAAAUGAUCUUGGUUUUAAUUUAAAUUGCAAAUUAUUCAAAGAGCGUGUGCUGUCGCUGCUAAUUAUUCAUCACAAGUUCAGUUUGCCAUCGCCUUCGCUGGUUCUUGCUCCGUUUAUGUAAUCGCUUCGGAAAUGGAAAAGCUUGCUACAAUACCCUGGUAAAACAGAAGACUGCUACGUCCGGACAAAACGGCAGAUAUGCCGCGUGUUCAGGUAUCGAUGUUUGGAGCAAAAUUCAAGUUAAAGGGGAGAUUUUACGCGCACUUUGUGGUGACAGACACGCGUGUUGAAUUCUGGAGACUUGUUUUAGCCCUUCGCUCGCUCUGGUUAUGGCUGUUGACUUGGUGGGAGUUUUUCAGGGCUUAUUAAGGAUCGUUUUAAAAUUUAUGACUGCUCUGUGUACCCAAAGGAGUGAAGAAAAUGUAUCGCACUAUCAAAAUCUCCAUUGAAGUUUCCUAAUAAGGAUUUCUACGAUUGAUUUUUUCCGUGCUAAAUCCUUGUACAAUUAUUUAAUGAAGAAAUAACACGCUUACUGGACAUUUUUAGCGGUCCAAAUUACGAGAAACAGAAACGAGAUCGCGGAAUAAGGCCUCCAAGACAUUCGGCAAGAGUAAAAAGCGUCAAGUACUUUGGCGAAAAAAAAAGAAAUCUAAGUCUUUGGGCGGGAAUUUUUUUGCGCUUAUAAAAGGGACCGAUUAAUUAAGAAAAAAAAACACUAAGUCUUUUGGCGGGAAAAAAGGCUGCGCUUUUAAAUGGAGUCUCUUAGCGAGUCAAAAAUAAACGAAGUCUUUUGGCGGGAAAAAUCUGUGCAUUUCGCAAACAGAUUUCGCUCAUCAAAAGACUACAUUUAUUUUGACUUGUUGCUAAACCCUGUUUAAAAGUUCAGAAAUUUUUCCCUGCUCGGCAACCCUACAUAGUCAAAAAAUAGUAAAAGAGAUAGCCUACAUUCCGACUAGUUUCCAGGCCCCUUUUAAAAGCGCAUUUUGUUUUGUCUUUCCAUGUAAAUAAAGCAAGACUCAUUUGUUGAUUAGAGCUGUUUGUUUAUUUUAAUUUUAUUGAAAUGUUAAGUAGCUAUAAACUUAUUUAAUUUACAAGUUGUAGUACUUGUUAACUACAUUUCUAAGUACAAAUGGAAAUAAAAUGAAACAAUUUUGCUAAGAACACCAUGAAUAGAAGUUACUUACGAAACACUAAGUAUGAAAAUAAAUUACAAUUCUGCGAAAAACUAUAUACGUAGCAACGUCAUCAAGAGAACACUCGAUCAAAAUUAUAAAUAUUUGAGUAAAGCUGUGUUAUUUUACUGACAAAACUAUCUGCAAAUUAGACAGAAAUGCCUGCUAAACAUUAGUGCAACACUGUACUAAGUAUUCGAAUUCUAGAAAAAAAGAUUAGGUUUAAACAGGCAAAUGAUUGUUUGCUGAACUUAUGAGAUAAUGAAAACAUACAAAUUUUGGUAGAUUAAUUGUAGUUUCAGAAUUGUUAAGUGUGAUUUUCAUGGCUUUAGGAGAAUAAAUCUAGUUUCGUUUCUUUGUCAAAAAGACAACCUAAUAUCAAAUCAUCAAUUGUACAUUGUGCGCACCCAUGUUAUUGAAGAAGACCAAAAACAAAAUAUAAAAGUUAGAUAUAACUGGAUAUUUUGGUCCAUGAACAGUGUCAGUUUUUGCCAGUCAAUAAUUAAGUUUGAUUCCGCUAACAAAAUAGCUUAAAAGUUGUUCAAGAGAGUUUUGUGAAUUCUUCUAAAUCGUAAUUUUGGUGUCACUCGAAUUAACUGCAAGGAAGAAUAAAUAUAAACGUCUGAUGGUUAAAACUACGCUAUACCUUGAAAUGAUUCGCGAAAUUUAUUUCUAAAUUUCGACUGACGAAACGCAACAUCGAUUUUGGCUUAUACUUUCCACAAGCUGGACACGUUUUAUUCAAGUUAAUUUUGCAUAAAUCAGUUCUCAAAAUCAGUUAGGAAAAUUUAAUAUUUCAUCAAGGCAAUAUUGCUUAGUUAAAGAUUAACUUGACACUGGCAUGAUCAUUGCUCGAGAUUAAUUUGAAAAUAGGCCCUUUGCACGAUCCGGUCACAUGGUACGGAAUUUAUUAUGCUGGGACGCAAGUUA